rnacentral:rRNA from 1 species
GGUGACGGUACCUGCAGAAGAAGCCCCGGCUAACUACGUGCCAGCAGCCGCGGUAAUACGUAGGGGGCGAGCGUUAUCCGGAUUCAUUGGGCGUAAAGCGCGCGUAGGCGGCCCGGCAGGCCGGGGGUCGAAGCGGGGGGCUCAACCCCCCGAAGCCCCCGGAACCUCCGCGGCUUGGGUCCGGUAGGGGAGGGUGGAACACCCGGUGUAGCGGUGGAAUGCGCAGAUAUCGGGUGGAACACCGGUGGCGAAGGCGGCCCUCUGGGCCGAGACCGACGCUGAGGCGCGAAAGCUGGGGGAGCGAACAGGAUUAGAUACCC